GAUGAACGCUGGCGGCGUGCCUAAUACAUGCAAGUCGAGCGAACAGACGAGGAGCUUGCUCCUCUGACGUUAGCGGCGGACGGGUGAGUAACACGUGGAUAACCUACCUAUAAGACUGGGAUAACUUCGGGAAACCGGAGCUAAUACCGGAUAAUAUAUUGAACCGCAUGGUUCAAUAGUGAAAGACGGUUUUGCUGUCACUUAUAGAUAGAUCCGCGCCGCAUUAGCUAGUUGGUAAGGUAACGGCUUACCAAGGCAACGAUGCGUAGCCGACCUGAGAGGGUGAUCGGCCACACUGGAACUGAGACACGGUCCAGACUCCUACGGGAGGCAGCAGUAGGGAAUCUUCCGCAAUGGGCGAAAGCCUGACGGAGCAACGCCGCGUGAGUGAUGAAGGUCUUCGGAUCGUAAAACUCUGUUAUUAGGGAAGAGCAAAUGUGUAAGUAACUAUGCACGUCUUGACGGUACCUAAUCAGAAAGCCACGGCUAACUACGUG
rnacentral:rRNA from 1 species